UUUGGCAUACCAAUUCUGAUUCAGUAUAUUGUUACUGUAUAAAUUAAUAUUUGUGUGUGAAUUUGUAUAGGUGAGGCUGAAAGGCAAGAAAAAGGGGAGAAGGCUGCCUAGGAUUCAACAUCCACCUGCAACACCGAAGAAGAAUCCGUUUAAUGAUGUUCCUCUGCAUAGAUGUGAGGGCAAUGAUCACUAUAAGGAAGAAGAUUAUGAAGAUGCUUGUUGACAAGAUUGAAUACCAGUGGGUAUCUUUCAUCAACGGGAUUGGUAGAGGAAUCUUGAUGACCAGUCUGCAUUUAUUGAUGUUAUUAAGGGUUUACUGAUAUAGACUAAUUGGAAUCUUUUGAGGUUCUAAAUUGUUUGUCUUAUGCAGUUAUGCACUUUGAACAGGAAAUAGAGAACAAAUAUUUUGCAUGACCUCAUUAAAUAUA